rnacentral:rRNA from 1 species
AAAGGCGGCCAGAGCGGUGGGGACACACCCGUACCCAUUCCGAACACGGAAGUUAAGCCCACCAGCGUACCGUGAAGUACUGGAGUGAGCGAUCUUCUGGGAACCACGGGUCGCCGCCUGCC